rnacentral:snRNA from 1 species
AUUUCCAUUCGGAUGAUCCA